GUUUCUUCUUAUCCCAUUAUUAUUGAAACGAUGCGUUGGGUCUUCUCCCUGUGAUUGUCUCCUUGAACCCGAUUGCUCUUGUCCAGGUAAGAAAUGUUUUCAUUAUUGACUGGUUCAAGUAUAUCCUCAAGUUGACUGGUACUAUCUGCAGUAGCUAGACUGCUAAUUGGUGGUGAAUUAGGUUCCAUGGCAUACAACCUUGAAGAGGCCCUAACCAGUCACUAUCCAUGAAGGAGUGUCCUGAAUAAUACAAUACUUGUCAGUGAAGAAAACACAGGUAUUUUUUGUUUUAGUGAGCUGUCCUAUUGAGAUCAAACUAAAUCUAAAACUUGGAACACAAAGGACAUUAUGUAGAGUUAACAGUGAUGUCAAUUUGACAACUCCUACAUGUGUGACAAUAGC